AGCACUGUAACUAACUACGUGUUCCGUAAUGUAAGUUGAUUAUCGUUGGCUCACGUUGGUUUGCAAAGAUCAACAAAGAGGAAUUCAAAAACACAAGACUUUCCAAAAACUGCAUGAAAACUAACUGCAAAGUUUUCUAUCUAUUUAUAAUGUUUAUAAACAAUUAUUGGAGACAUUGCACUGUAGUGGUGCUCAUUGAACAGAGGAUAUCAGCAUCGGUGAAAUAUUUCUCAAGUUUGAACCAGAUUUUGUUAAAGCAUAUUCUCCAUAUGCCAACUUCUUCGAAAA
rnacentral:lncRNA from 13 species